rnacentral:sRNA from 1 species
UCACCAGAUUAUAGAGGGAGUCCUCAGU